GAUAAACGCUGGCGGCGUGCCUAAUACAUGCAAGUCGAGCGAAUGGAUUAAGAGCUUGCUCUUAUGAAGUUAGCGGCGGACGGGUGAGUAACACGUGGGUAACCUGCCCAUAAGACUGGGAUAACUCCGGGAAACCGGGGCUAAUACCGGAUAACAUUUUGAACCGCAUGGUUCGAAAUUGAAAGGCGGCUUCGGCUGUCACUUACGGAUGGACCCGCGUCGCAUUAGCUAGUUGGUGAGGUAACGGCCCACCAAGGCAACGAUGCGUAGCCGACCUGAGAGGGUGAGCGGCCACACUGGGACUGAGACACGGCCCAGACUCCUACGGGAGGCAGCAGUAGGGAAUCUUCCGCAAUGGACGAAAGUCUGACGGAGCAACGCCGCGUGAGUGAUGAAGGCUUUCGGGUCGUAAAACUCUGUUGUUAGGGAAGAACAAGUGCUAGUUGAAUAAGCUGGCACCUUGACGGUACCUAACCAGAAAGCCACGGCUAACUACGUGCCAGCCGCCGCCGUAA
rnacentral:rRNA from 1 species